rnacentral:rRNA from 1 species
GAUGAACGCUGGCGGCGUGCCUAAUACAUGCAAGUCGAGCGAACAGACGAGGAGCUUGCUCCUUUGACGUUAGCGGCGGACGGGUGAGUAACACGUAGGUAACCUACCUAUAAGACUGGGAUAACUUCGGGAAACCGGAGCUAAUACCGGAUAAUAUUUCGAACCGCAUGGUUCGAUAGUGAAAGAUGGCUUUGCUAUCACUUAUAGAUGGACCUGCGCCGUAUUAGCUAGUUGGUAAGGUAACGGCUUACCAAGGCAACGAUACGUAGCCGACCUGAGAGGGUGAUCGGCCACACGGGGACUGAGACACGGUCCAGACUCCUACGGAAGGCAGCAGUAGGGAAUCUUGCGCAAUGGGCGAAAGCCUGACGGAGCAACGCCGCGUGAGUGAUGAAGGUCUUCGGAUCGUAAAACUCUGUUAUUAGGGAAGAACAAUCGUGUAAGUAACUGUGCACGUCGUGACGGUACCUAAUCAGAAAGCCACGGCUAACUACGUG